UACGAAGGGGGCUAGCGUUGCUCGGAAUCACUGGGCGUAAAGGGUGCGUAGGCGGGUCUUAAGUCAGGGGUGAAAUCCUGGAGCUCAACUCCAGAACUGCCUUUGAUACUGAAGAUCUUGAGUUCGGGAGAGGUGAGUGGAACUGCGAGUGUAGAGGUGAAAUUCGUAGAUAUUCGCAAGAACACCAGUGGCGAAAGGCGGCUCACUGGCCCGAUACUGACGCUGAGGCACGAAAGCGUGGG
rnacentral:rRNA from 1 species